rnacentral:lncRNA from 1 species
GAUAAAUUCUAUAUUAUUUGUAAAUUUGACAAAAACUAAUUAGUUGGAUUGAGAGUUAUGAAUUUCUAAAAUUUGGAAAGAAGAAAACCUUUGUAAGAAAAAUAUAUUUUGAAGGGAUUUUAUUAUAAACUGAGCAUUUUAUACAAAUUAAAGGAGUUUAUUUUGAAUUCAAGAUUUUAUAUAUAUAUUGAAGAUAGAUAUAUGA